GCAACUCUGAACCAGCCAUGCCGCGUGCAGGAUGACUGCCCUAUGGGUUGUAAACUGCUUUUGUCAGGGAAUAAACCUUUCUACGUGUAGAAAGCUGAAUGUACCUGAAGAAUAAGGAUCGGCUAACUCCGUGCCAGCAGCCGCGGUAAUACGGAGGAUCCAAGCGUUAUCCGGAUUUAUUGGGUUUAAAGGGUGCGUAGGCGGUCCUAUAAGUCAGUGGUGAAAGACGGCAGCUUAACUGUCGCACUGCCUUUGAUACUGUAGGACUUGAAUCUAUUUGAAGUGGGCGGAAUAAGACAAGUAGCGGUGAAAUGCAUAGAUAUGUCUUAGAACUCCGAUUGCGAAGGCAGCUCACUAAGUUAGUAUUGACGCUGAUGCACGAAAGCGUGGGGAUCAAACAGGAUUAGAUACCCUGGUAGUCCACGCCCUAAACGAUGAUAACUCGAUGUUUGC
rnacentral:rRNA from 1 species